rnacentral:rRNA from 1 species
UACGAAGGGGGCUAGCGUUGUUCGGAAUUACUGGGCGUAAAGGGCUCGUAGGCGGCCAACUAAGUCAUACGUGAAAUCCCUCGGCUCAACCGAGGAACUGCGUCUGAUACUGGAAGGCUUGAAUCCGGGAGAGGGAUGUGGAAUUCCAGGUGUAGCGGUGAAAUGCGUAGAUAUCUGGAGGAACACCGGUGGCGAAGGCGGCAUCCUGGACCGGUAUUGACGCUGAGGCGCGAAAGCUAGGGGAGCAAACGGGG